AAGUAGUGAAGUAAUAAUAUUACACCUAAUUUCGACCUAGGUUUAGAGAAACCCUCCUUACUUU
rnacentral:tRNA from 1 species